rnacentral:rRNA from 1 species
AGAGUUUGAUUCUGGCUCAGGAUGAACGCUGGCGGCGUGCCUAACACAUGCAAGUCGAACGGACCAUCUUCGGGGUGGUUAGUGGCGGACGGGUGCGUAACACGUAGGUGACCUGCCCCAGAGUGGGGAAUAAUUCCGCGAAAGCGGGACUAAUACCGCAUAUGCUCGGCGAUCCACUUCGUCGAGUAAAGCCUUCGGGCGCUUUGGGAUGGGCCUGCGGCGGAUUAGCUAGUUGGUAGGGUAAUGGCCUACCAAGGCGAUGAUCCGUAGGGGGCGUGAGAGCGUGACCCCCCACAUUGGCACUGAGACACGGGCCAAACUCCUACGGGAGGCAGCAGUGAGGAAUAUUGCACAAUGGGCGAAAGCUUUGAUGCAGCAACGCCGCGUGAGGGACGAAGGCCCUCGGGUCGUAAACCUCUUUUCUGGGGGACGAGACUAGGACGGUACCUCAGGAAUAAGUCUCGGCUAACUACGUGCCAGCAGCGGC